ACUUGAAUAGUUUAUUGAAAACAGUAAUUUGUGGUGUUACUAAUGCAGGUAACUGCUUCAAGUC
rnacentral:tRNA from 1 species